rnacentral:rRNA from 1 species
AUUGAACGCUGGCGGCGUGCUUAACACAUGCAAGUCGAACGCGAAAGGGACUUCGGUCCUGAGUAAAGUGGCGCACGGGUGAGUAACGCGUGGAUAAUCUGCCCUUAUGAUUGGAAUAACAGUUGGGAACGGCUGCUAAUACCGGAUACGCUCAAAAUGAACUUUUUGAGGAAAGAUGGCCUCUGCUUGCAUGCUAUCGCAUAAGGAUGAGUCCGCGUCCCAUUAGCUUGUUGGCGGGGUAACGGCCCACCAAGGCAACGAUGGGUAGCCGAUUUGAGAGGAUGAUCGGCCACACUGGAACUGAAACACGGUCCAGACUCCUACGGGAGGCAGCAGUGGGGAAUAUUGCGCAAUGGGCGAAAGCCUGACGCAGCGACGCCGCGUGAGGGAUGAAGGUUUUCGGAUCGUAAACCUCUGUCAGAAGGGAAGAAACUACGUUGUGCUAAUCAGCAGCGUACUGACGGUACCUUCAAAGGAAGCACCGGCUAACUCCGUGCCAG